GACGAACGCUGGCGGCGUGCCUAAUACAUGCAAGUAGAACGCACAGUUUAUACCGUAGCUUGCUACACCAUAGACUGUGAGUUGCGAACGGGUGAGUAACGCGUAGGUAACCUGCCUGGUAGCGGGGGAUAACUAUUGGAAACGAUAGCUAAUACCGCAUAAUAUUGAUUAUUGCAUGAUAAUUGAUUGAAAGAUGCUAUUGCAUCACUACCAGAUGGACCUGCGUUGUAUUAGCUAGUAGGUGAGGUAACGGCUCACCUAGGCGACGAUACAUAGCCGACCUGAGAGGGUGAUCGGCCACACUGGGACUGAGACACGGCCCAGACUCCUACGGGAGGCAGCAGUAGGGAAUCUUCGGCAAUGGACGAAAGUCUGACCGAGCAACGCCGCGUGAGUGAAGAAGGGUUUCGGAUCGUAAAGCUCUGUUGUAAGAGAAGAGCGGGUGUGAGAGUGGAAAGUUCACACUGUGACGGUAUCUUACCAGAAAGGGACGGCUAACUACGUG
rnacentral:rRNA from 1 species